rnacentral:rRNA from 1 species
UACGUAGGGUGCGAGCGUUGUCCGGAAUUAUUGGGCGUAAAGAGCUCGUAGGCGGUGUGUCACGUCGGCCGUGAAAACCUGCAGCUUAACUGUGGGCGUGCGGUCGAUACGGGCAUCACUGGAGUUCGGCAGGGGAGACUGGAAUUCCUGGUGUAGCGGUGAAAUGCGCAGAUAUCAUCAGGAACACCGGAGGCGAAGGCGGCUCACUGGGGAUUUUCUGACGCUGAGGAACGAAAGCCAGGGGAGCGAACGGG